UACAGAGGGUGCGAGCGUUAAUCGGAAUUACUGGGCGUAAAGCGUGCGUAGACGGUUAUUUAAGUCGGGUGUGAAAGCCCCGGGCUCAACCUGGGAAUUGCAUUCGAGACUGAAUAGCUAGGGUACGGUAGAGGGAAGCGGAAUUUCCGGUGUAGCGGUGAAAUGCGUAGAUAUCGAGAGGAACACCAGUGGCGAAGGCGGCUCACUGGGCUCCACCUGACGCUGAGGCGCGAAAGCGUGGGGAGCGAACCGG
rnacentral:rRNA from 1 species